rnacentral:rRNA from 1 species
AGUGAACGCUGGCGGUAGGCCUAACACAUGCAAGUCGAACGGCAGCACAGUAAGAGCUUGCUCUUACGGGUGGCGAGUGGCGGACGGGUGAGGAAUACAUCGGAAUCUACUUUUUCGUGGGGGAUAACGUAGGGAAACUUACGCUAAUACCGCAUACGACCUACGGGUGAAAGCAGGGGAUCUUCGGACCUUGCGCGAUUGAAUGAGCCGAUGUCGGAUUAGCUAGUUGGCGGGGUAAAGGCCCACCAAGGCGACGAUCCGUAGCUGGUCUGAGAGGAUGAUCAGCCACACUGGAACUGAGACACGGUCCAGACUCCUACGGGAGGGAGCAGUGGGGAAUAUUGGACAAUGGGCGCAAGCCUGAUCCAGCCAUACCGCGUGGGUGAAGAAGGCCUUCGGGUUGUAAAGCCCUUUUGUUGGGAAAGAAAAGCAGCAGGUUAAUACCCCGCUGUUCUGACGGUACCCAAAGAAUAAGCACCGGCUAACUUCGU